GACGAACCGUGCGAACGUUGUUCGGAAUCACUGGGCUUAAAGGGCGCGUAGGCGGGCUGUCAAGUCUGGGGUGAAAUCCCGCGGCUCAACCGUGGAACUGCCUUAGAUACUGACGGCCUCGAGGAAGGUAGGGGCAUGCGGAACUGUAGGUGGAGCGGUGAAAUGCGUUGAUAUCUACGGGAACUCCGGUGGCGAAAGCGGCGUGCUGGACCUUUUCUGACGCUGAGGCGCGAAAGCUAGGGGAGCAAACGGG
rnacentral:rRNA from 1 species